GCAAACUUGGUCAUUUAGAGGAAGUAAAAGUCGUAACAAGGUUUCCGUAGGUGAACCUGCGGAAGGAUCAUUAUUGAAUGAGUUUUUAAAACGGGUUGUGGCUGGCCUCCUGUGAGGCAUGUGCAACGCCCUACUCAUCCACUCUAUAAACCCUUUGUGCAGAAUGGCUAGAGAAUUGAAUAUAUUCCUGGGGUUAAUGGAAUAUCAUCAAUUUGGUCGUAAGACUAGAUUGAUAUCAUUUUUCUACGCCUUUUUUUUCUUGUCUUAUAGACAAUAAAGUAACAGAAUGUUGUAUCUUUGCAUUUAAUGCAUUAUAAUAUAACUUUCAGCAACGGAUCUCUUGGCUCUCGCAUCGAUGAAGAACGCAGC
rnacentral:misc_RNA from 1 species